UACGUAGGGGGCGAGCGUUGUCCGGAUUUAUUGGGCGUAAAGAGCGUGUAGGCGGCCAGGUAGGUCGGUUGUGAAAACUGGAGGCUUAACCUUCAGACGUCGACCGAAACCAUCUGGCUAGAGUCCGGAAGAGGAGAGUGGAAUUCCUGGUGUAGCGGUGAAAUGCGCAGGUAUCAGGAAGAACACCCGUGGCGAAGGCGGCUCUCUGGGACGGUACUGACGCUGAGACGCGAAAGCGUGGGGAGCGAACAGG
rnacentral:rRNA from 1 species